AUACGUAGGGGGCAAGCGUUGUCCGGAAUUAUUGGGCGUAAAGCGCGCGCAGGCGGCGCUUUAAGUUGGAGGUUAAAGGCAAUGGCUCAACCAUUGUUCGCCUCCAAAACUGGAGCGCUUGAGUGCAGCAGAGGAAAGUGGAAUUCCCGGUGUAGCGGUGGAAUGCGUAGAGAUCGGGAGGAACACCAGUGGCGAAGGCGACUUUCUGGGCUGUAACUGACGCUGAGGCGCGAAAGCGUGGGGAGCAAACAGGAUUAGAUACCCUGGUAGUCCACGCCGUAAACGAUGAGUGCUAGGUGUUGGGGGCCUUCCCGCCCUCAGUGCCGAAGCUAACGCAUUAAGCACUCCGCCUGGGGAGUACGGCCGCAAGGCUGAA
rnacentral:rRNA from 1 species